AGAGUUUGAUCAUGGCUCAGGAUGAAUGCUGGCGGUAUUGAUAAGGCAUGCAAGUCGAGCGGAGAUUUCUUUGAAGGAUUAUGCGAUUACAUCAAGUGGUCCGACGUUGAAAUCUUAGCGGCGAACGAGUUAGUAACAUCUUGGAACAUACCUCGAAGUCGGGCACAACGGGUCGAAAGAUCCGCUAAUUCCCGAUGGUGCAGCAAUGCUAAAGUCGCAAGACGCUUCGAGAGUGGCCUAGAUCCUAUCAGCUUGUUGGCGGGGUAAUGGCCCACCAAGGCUAUGACGGGUAGGGGGCGUGAGAGCGUGACCCUCAACGACGAAACUGAGAUACGGUUCGUACACCUACGGGUGGCAGCAGUCGAGAAUAUUCGACAAUGGGCGAAAGCCUGAUCGAGAAAUACCGCGUGUAGGAAGAAGGCCUUCGGGUUGUAAACUACUUUUGCUAGGGACGAAUUUUGACGGUACCUAGAGAAUAAGGGGUUGCUAACUCUGUGCCAGCAGCAGCGGUAAUACAGAGACCCCGAGCAUUAUCCGGAAUUACUGGGCGUAAAGCGCGAGCAGCCGGUUGCGUUAGUCUGAUGUUAAACCCUGGGGCCCAACCCUAGGACUGCAUUGGAAACGGCGCACCUUGAGUAGAUGAGAGGAAGGCAGAACGUAUAGUGUAGGGGUGAAAUCCACUGAUAUUAUACGGAAUACCAAAAGCGAAGGCAGCCUUCUAGCGUCUUACUGACGGUCAAUCGCGAAAGCGUGGGGAUCAAAAAGGAUUAGAUACCCUAGUAGUCC
rnacentral:rRNA from 1 species